GCUUACGUCCAACUGAUAUCUGCAUCCAAUGAUUUGCCAAAAUCAAAACCAAAGGAUUAAUAAAGUUUACUGACUACCUUAGUUGGUAAGCUUUCUUAGGUUAUUUAAUUUAUACACCAUACAAUUGUGGCUACAUAAUUGACAUCAGAAUGACCUGUUACUAGCAUGUCCUAAAAUAGUUAAAACUUUAAACCAAGAUAUGUAUUUAUAAUGUGGUAUUGCAGAUGCUACAUCAAGUGCAGUGAAUAAUUUUAAUUUCAUUUAGGCAACCAAAUGCUCACUGAAUGAUACAGAAUAGGAAACCAGCCAUUAAAUUUUUACAUAUUUCAAAUAUUAACCAUUUACAGAAAAAUUCAUAAGCCUUGGAGUUGUUAGAGGUAGAACCAACUCCAGGCUAAUGAAAUGUGAAAACUCAAGACAGGUGGAUAAGGAUGGAAUAAAGUGGUGUUUUUUGGUCUUUCGAUAUGUUCUCUUAUUUGCUUCUAGCCAAGUAGGAUUGGUGCAUUGUAAACAAAUUUGUGAAUAAUAGAUGGAGAGGUGCAGUCGCACACUGAACAACACCAGGGAUAUUUAAAAGGUAUGCACUUAGGACAUAGAGACCAGGAACCUUGCAAUUUCAUCCAGAAAGAAUUAAGUUAAUAAAUCCAGAUGAACAAGAGAGACGCUCAGUAAGUUGAACUCGAAAGAAGAACAAUGAGUACAGCACUGCUUUUUGCAAAAAUGUGGUAGCUAAGAAAGGAAUUCUUUUCCUCAUAUCCUACGACUGAGCAAUGGACCUUUCAUCCAGCUAACCAACAUGAUAUAAAUAAUUGUGCUAACUUUUGCUUGCAUACCUGCUCCUGGCUUACAUA
rnacentral:misc_RNA from 1 species